GUGCUCACUUUGGCAGCACAUAUACUAAAAUUGGAAUGAUACAGAGAAGAUUAGCACGGCCCCUGCACAAGGAUGACACAUAAAUUAGUGAAGUGUUCUAUAUUAAA
rnacentral:snRNA from 1 species